GCCUUGGAUCAACUCCACGUGACCGUGACAGGAGGAGGCCGUUGGGGCGCUUGGAGCCCUGACGCGCUGCUUCCUUUUGUGGCCCGUGAGGGAAAGGCGCUCGCUCGCUUCCCCGCCCCCUUCGAGCUCCCACCUGGCGCUGGAGAGACUCAACGUGUGACCUUCCGGCUCCCUUCGGGGCCCAGUUUGUAUUACAGCAGGCGUCAUCACGCGAUGCCUCUUGAUGCCAACGAUGUUACUUAUCUGCGCAGCCUGGAAGGGAUCGGCUUGUUCAUGCUUGGCUGUAACUCUAGAAGAGCAGGGGAGGGGGAUGUGUUUACUACCAUCCUCCAGGUAGCGCCUGGAGGUCUCGGAGUUACAACUGAUUUCCAGGCCUCAGAGAUUAGUCCUUUGGGAGAACAUGGCUUCUUUGGAGGGUGCACCUGCUGAUGUCCGUCCGCUCCCCAUUCUACAGCCUCAAAAUAUCCCGGAAUUUCCCAACUUGGAGUUGGCAACCCUAUCUAGGGGAGAACACAGCUUUACCUCUGCCCUGCAAUUGUUGAAUGCUUGCUCUCAUUCCCUUUCCUCCACUUUUCUCAUCUAAAUUAACUAGAAGACUCCAAUUGGUGCAAAACGCUGAGGCACAACUGUUAUCAGGUACAUGAACAUCAUUCUGCAGUCACUCUAUUGGCUACUUAUCAGUCAGCAUACUCAGUUCGAGGUAGUGAUUAUCACAUACAAAGCUCUUCAUGGCCUUGGUCCAGCAUACUGCUGCCUCCCUGCCUCCCUCCCUAUGUUCCUCCAGAGCAACUUCACUCAUCUGAACAGAGUCUCUUGCAGGUGCCGCCUGACACAUGGGCGAAAUCAACAGGAGCCCCUACUCGGGCUUUCUCUGUGGUGGCCUCUACCCUGUGGAACAGCCUGCCUGAGGAGGUCAGGAGAGCCCCACUUUCCCAGCUUUCUACAAACGAUACAAAACCGAAUUAGUCAAAAAGGCUUUUGUAUAGGGGUCUCCGAUGCUCCGCUAAUGAAUUAGGGACUAUAUUCACCCACAGACUUCACCACUAUGUUGCCUUACCUGUGCCUUAUCUGUGCCUAUGUUGCCUUACCUGUGUCUUACCUGUUGCUUUAAAUAUGUGCUACUAUGUCAGCCUUAGAAUUGCUUAUGUUCUGUUUCAGCAUUUCUUCAACUAUGUAUUGGAUUCUUACUAAUGUUACGUGUUUGUAAAGUUGUGUUUAUUUACCCUAUGGCAUUGUUUAUGAAAUUGUCCUUGAUAUGGACUGUACUAAUCUCAUACUGUGUAAUCCAUCUUGAGUCUCGUUGAGAAAGGUGGAUCAUAAAUGACAUAAAUAAACAAACAAGUGUGACAGCCAAUGUGGCCUAACAGGAAGACUGGUGAACUUUUUUUUAAUUACAUGAAUUACAAAAAUGUUAGUUUCAGGUGAGUAGCUGUGUUGGUCUGCAGUAGAAGGGCAAGAUCCAGGUCUGAUAGCACUUUAAAAAGACCAACUAGAUUUCCAUGGUAUGAGCCUUCCAGAGUCAAAACUCUCUUGAAAAGGAUGAAGUUAUUUUGAUAUAAUGCAAAGAUGUGCAUAAAAAAGGAAAAGCAAACAUGAAGAAAUCAUAAAGGACCAUUUAGUUUUUAUUUAGUAAAUGUGUAUGCUGCCUCUCGGGAGAUCUACUUGAGACAGUUAAAGCAUUAAAUGUAAGCAGAAAUUACAGCUUAGACUGGCAAAAUGUUUUAUUCUGGUAAGUGAAACUUGGGUUCAAAUCUCCAGACAGCCAUGACUCUUAAGUGGGCUUGGAAUCAAUGGACUGAGACAGGGGUGACAAUGUUAAGGAUUGCAUUAUAGAUGGUAUCAGCCGUUGUCUCAUCCUAAUUUCUGGUUAGCGUGUAUCUAAAAUGGGGAAAGGAAAAUUUUAAAUAUGCCAUCCUGAGGAAGGGCAGGUUAAAAAUGAGGUGAUAUAUAAAUGCUCAGCAGCCACCAUUUUAGAUCCUCUGUUACAAUGCACAUGGCUUUUCCUCCUUACACCAGUGCAUUCCCGUGACAAUUAGCAGCAAAUAACAAAACAAAACAAAGUAGUUCUGACAGUAUAACCACCUUAGGCCAGGAGAUGGCUGCCUGUCAUACCAAUAGUUGGUGUCUGAAACAAAUGCCAACUUUAUCAUGCAUCUGACAAAGGGGGAUCUAGUGCACAAAAGUUUGUUGGAAUAAAGAAUCCUGUUUAUUUUUGUUUUAACAAGCUAAUAUCUGCUUCUGUUGCCAUCUUGCACCAGCAGGAUCCAUCCUUCAUGCUCAAUGUUUUAAAUGUUUUAAUUGUCAUGUCUCUGAGGAGCCCUGUGGUGCAGAGUGAUAAGCUGCAGUACUGCAGCCUAGGCUCUACUCAUGACUCAGCCUUCCAUCCUUCCGAGGUUUAGGCUUGAGUAUGGGCAGAUUUUCAAGAUUCACAGAACCUUUCAUCAGGGAAAGUGGAAAGGGAGCAAUCUCAGGGGUCUGUGUAUGUUUGAGAGAGGAGGACAGCCUGCAAAGAAUGAAGGCUAACAAAGGAGGAGCAGAGACAGCUGUCAAGGAAGGCUCUGGAACUUGAGACAGAGUGGAGCAGGUAGCAGAGAGCAAAGCCAGGUCAGGAGCAAAGCUGUUCUCUAGGUGAGGUCAGGCCAGCAAGCAGGGUCCAAACCUUGGGAAGGUACUGCAGACAGACUAAAUAAAGGGACAGCACUCUUUAGUUGUGUGUAGAAGAGACUAAAUAAAGGGCUCACAGCAGCUGAUGAUGAGGAUGAGCAAAGACGCCAUUAAACCCAAGUAUGACAUACAUGUAAAUGUAUUCAUUUGCCUAAUCUGAGCUAAUGAGAAAAGAAGCUGGAAUUAGCCUAUUGGCUUUUCCAACCCCAGUUGUAUGAGAUGGCAGUCCUUUGUGUCUUGGCUAUCACACCUCCAGAUCUGCUUUGAUAUAAAUCACAUGGUCAUUUUGCUCCUCAGUUUGAGAAAGUGAGAUUUUCAAUAUCCACAUACUUCCCUCCCUUAAUGUGAUGCAUAUAUUUAUUCAUUCAUUUGAAGAUCUUAUACGCACAACCAAAGAUCUCAAAGCUAUCACCAUAAAGAAAUGAGGAACAAAAAUUACACUGAAGAUUUCAUAUGAAAAAAACAUAAAUGCUGCUAAAACAGUCAUUUCUCACCCUACUUGAAGCAGCUGGAGCCUUGCUCUAGAGCACUCAGCAGAAUGGCUAACCCAAGCUUGUGUUGUUAAUUUACACCACAAGAGUCAGGCUAUAUCAGCCUGCAAUGGCAAUUUUGGCUUACAGGGGUGUCAGUCCAUGCUAUGGUAAUUGCAUUAUCUCAGACUGAACUUUGCUUUUGAGAUGCUAUUGAAAACCUCUGCAGAACAUGAAUUUAGUUGUGAUGCACAAAAAAACUCCAAACCUUACAGUGGCACUAUAAGACCUGCUUUGCCAUAGCCACCUGACAGUACAGCAACAUUUAAAGGCCUAUCACAUCAUGGGUGGGGCUGGUCAUAUGAUUUCCUAUCACAUAACCAUUGCCCAGUCUGUUUGGGCCUGUGCAACUGGGUUCACCUGAGUGGUUGUAUGCUUUGAUGCAAUGGGAUGGUAAUCAGAAGGUGGUUCCCACAUCUGAAAAUCAGUUACUAAGGACUACAAGUGACAAAUGACACAGGCUGGACACUUGUCAGCUUCCCUCAAGUUUUGAUGGGAACCGUAGGCAGUUUGGCGGAAUGUUGGACAAGUUGAAAAGUCCAUUGAACAGCAGUCGGAAAGCCAAGCUACAAGACCAGGAUGCCUACAUUUCCCAUCAAAACUUGAGGGAAGCUGACAAGUGUCCAACCUGUGUCAGGCGUCACUUGUAGCUUGGCCCUAACACACCAUAAGAGUAAGAGAAUGUGUGUAUUCAUGAAUGCAAUAGGAUAGAAAGUUGGUAUGAGGAACCCAGAUGAAGGGAAUAUUCUCAUACUGCUAGAAUUUAGGAUAUAGAGAUGAUAUUGUACCACUCACUGUUCCCAUAUGCUGUUGGGGAGCAUGUGACCAGAAUCUAAUUCCAUAUUUUUUUUCUUCCCUUGCUGGAAUCAGAGCUCCUUUCUUCAGUUUACCAAUGUGUUUGUUCUUACCUUUUCAAUGGAUGAACACAGUAACAAAUACAGGGGGGAAAAGGGAGGCAGUUUUUCAAUAAAUCACAAGCUUUUGAGGCAAGGGGAAUGUAAUACGGGACUUGUUCUAUUUCUUAAAAUACUCUGGUUGGGCUACAAUAUUUUCUGCAUAUAAUGAUAAACUGUUCAGUGGACUGACUGGUUCAGCUGCAAGGCCAAACCAUGGCAAAAACUGUUUGCGUGUUCUCUCUUUUACCCCCUUCCCUUUACACAGUCUAUUAGUAACUAGUGACAUAGUUUACCUUUACAGCUGAAUCAGUAAACUAUGGUUUGUGUUUCCUUUUCGAACCAAGUUUGCAAAUGAUAGUUUAAAACAGUUUCAAUCUUGGUUUGCCCCUCCAAACACACACACACUGAUUUCAACCUAUGGGUUGCUCCAAAUCAGAAGUUACUGACUGACUACAGCCCUGCAAGGGGAAGACUUUUUGUGCAAUGGUUAAACCAUGGAUUGGUGAUAUAGAUGAACUAUACUUGUUUGCUGUGUUCAACUGCAGGCCCAUGUAGGACCUAUUCUGAAAACUAGUGCCUGAAGAAGAGAGCUCUGACUCUUGAAAGUCUGUACUUUGAAACUCUUGUUGGUCUCUAAGGUGUCAUUGUACUCACAUCCUGCUGUUCUACUGCAGACCAACAUGGAUACCUACCUAAAACUAUUGGUGGAACUGGAAGGAAGGAAGGUUUUGUUUCGUGGCUGCAACUAUCAAACUGAGUAUUUUAGUACUGGGUAAUUUGUAACUUCCUGACCAGCAGACAAAUGUGGAAUAGAGUUCUGUGGAAUAUAAAUGGUCAAAUCAUUACAAAUCACUAGAAAAUGCACCAAGGAGAAUAAUGGUAUUGGAAAAGAGGAAGGGACAAGAUGACCUAUUUUUCCCCCUACGUCUAAUUUUUAUGAUUACUGUAGUUAUCCCUCAGCACACCAAAAUUGAGCUAUUUUCCUUUCUUUCAGGUAUAGCACAAUGCUAAAUCAGAGCAAGUGAUCUUUCAACAUAAAUGCACCACAUUUAGUAAGACAGCAAAGAGUGAUCACAUUUUGUUUAGGCUUGUUAUUUUUUCACCUCUGAACUGCAAGUGCUUGGCCCAAGAGUUGCCAGCUAGAUGGAGAGAAUUCUUGGCAAAGGUUAGAGAUAACAGAACCCUUGUUUCUCCGGAAUACAAUAAAGAGUCAAAUAUUUUAACAGCAAAGUCAAUAAUUUUUGAAGAUUCGGUAAUUUUCUUGCCAAAUUUUAGGCAGUCUCUCUCACAGAGAUCAAAAUAAUUCAUCUAAACAGACACAGAAAGAGCAAUUGUAUUGUUUUAGAUAGUGACAUGAGGUUAAUUUUAGUCAGUACUCAGCACCAGAACUCAUCCUGAAUGUCAGGGCUCGGCUUUGGAACAUGAGAAAUACGAAUAAAGACUGGAGCAUAUGCAGAAUACCUUCCUUUUAUUCCUGGAUAAGUACACCCUGCCAUCAUAUAUGUGGGAUUAAGGGGCAGUCCUUCCAGAGCACCAGAGCAGCUCUAAAACUUUUUUUUAAAAAAGGUGACUCCUUGUGGCAGGCAGUCCCUCAUUUUAAUUUCUUCUUUUUGCAAGGCAGAAUUUGCCCUACUAUAACCAGUGACGUGUAGUGGUUAGUGCUGAAUUGGGGCUGGUAGACCCAAGUUCAAACUCCAGUCUCCCAUGGAAGCUUGGGCCAGUUACACACUCUCAGUCUAACCUAUCUUACAGAAUUGUGAGGGUUCAAUGGAGGAGACUGAUGUAAGCUGCCUUGGAUUCCCAUUAGGCAGAAAAGUGGCAUAUAAAUGAAGUAAAUAAAUGCUGAAGCAAUGUUCAACACAGCCUUGCCAAUCAAGGCAGACUUUAAAAAAAUCUUGUUUGAUUUACUAUUAAUGUAAUAGCCUAUCACAUAAUGUGAAAUGCCAGUACAGCUAACACUGUAUUACAUGUGUGCAGAACAUCUAAGCAGCGUUUAACAAUCCUACUAUAAGAUGAAUUGAGUAGCACUUUAGUCCUACGCAACUUUCAUAGCUUGACAUGCAAAUUAGUGCAAAACAUGUUUCUCAAGACAUUCUCACAUGUAAUGUGUUCAAAUAUUAGUCUAUCAAUUAGAUACCCAGAACUUUAUGACAUGUGCCUUCAAUAGACAUAUCACAAAGCAGAGCUAAGUAUGUAGCUGUCACAUAAAACCACAGAGCAAGUGUAAGAAGCCACACACUAUCCAAAUAGUAUCUUUACUGAAUAUGCUCAACACCAAAUGGUCCUUUACAGUCUAUCAUGAUGAAUGACGACGUGCGUAGAAGCAGUUACCCCAAUUCCUACAUUUCCCUACCGUUUGUACUUUUAUAGAGAUAAAUCAGUAUUCUAUCAAAUUAAGUUAUUGCAAGAUAUCUGUCAGACAUCCUAAUUACAAGAACUGAAGAAAAAUGGAGGCAAAUGGUCUCUAAGCACCCAAUAUAUAACAUUGCUGAAUCUGAUGUGUAGACCUGAUGGGGGACCACUACAAAUUCCAUCUAAGUUGUUCUGAGCUUCCUAAGGGAAGGUGGGAUGUAAGUAUAAAAAAUAAAUAGAACUAAUGAUGAUCUACAAUAAGGCCAUUAGAAGUACAGCAAUAAGAAAGUCUGACAAAUAGUUAAAAAGUAGGCGAACUAGCUGCAGUUAAGGUGUGACCACUUUUUAAGCAUUCUAUCACUUUAAAGCAGAAGCCAUAUGGCUAUCACAUACAAAGCUCUUUGCAUCCUUGGUCCAACAUAUCUAUGGGACCAUGUCUCUCCCUGUGUUCCACCACUGCUUUGUUCGUCUGAUCAGGGCCUUCUGCAGGUGCCACCCUGCACAUGGGCUAAAUCAACAGCUGCCUGUACAUGAGCAUUGUCUGUGGUAGCCCCUAAUUUAUGGAAUGGGUCAGGAAGAGGUCAGAAAAGCUCCCACUUUCCUGGCUUUCCGCAAAUGAUACGAAACAAAACUGAAUUAUUCAAGGUCAUUUUACUCAGAUAGGAAGGCUGUACUGUAAGGAACUGGUCUCAAAGAGAUGUAUCAGUAAAGAAACAGGGACUAUAGACUUUACUACCAUAUGUUGUCUGUUGCUUUAAGUAUGAUCUACUUAGGUAGUUUCUUUGUUGAUCUACCGAGUAGUUUCUAUGUUGUUUAAUAUGUCAGAAUUGCUUGUGCUCUUUCUCAGCAUUUCUUCAACGCUGUACUGGAUUCUGCUGGCUUUAAAUCUUUGCAAAUUUGUCCUAUUACAUUGUUUAUUGAAAUGUUUUUGAAAUUGACUGUACUAAUUCACACUGUGUAAUCCACCUUCUCAUUGAGAAAGGCGGACUAUAAAUAACAUAAAUAAAUAAAAUAUAGUCUUCAACAUGAAA